rnacentral:rRNA from 1 species
ACAUCCAGAGAAUUUAGCAGAGAUGCUUUAGUGCCUUCGGGAACUCUGAGACAGGUGCUGCAUGGCUGUCGUCAGCUCGUGUUGUGAAAUGUUGGUUAAGUCCCGCAACGAGCGCAACCCCUAUCCUUUGUUGCCAGCGAUUCGGUCGGGAACUCAAAGGAGACUGCCGGUGAUAAACCGGAGGAAGGUGGGGAUGACGUCAAGUCAUCAUGGCCCUUACGAGUAGGGCUACACACGUGCUACAAUGGCGCAUACAAAGAGAAGCGACCUCGCGAGAGCAAGCGGACCUCAUAAAGUGCGUCGUAGUCCGGAUUGGAGUCUGCAACUCGACUCCAUGAAGUCGGAAUCGCUAGUAAUCGUAGAUCAGAAUGCUACGGUGAAUACGUUCCCGGGCCUUGUACACACCGCCCGUCACACCAUGGGAGUGGGUUGCAAAAGAAGUAGAUAGCUUAACCUUCGGGAGGGCGUUUACCACUUUGUGAUUCAUGACUGGGGUGAAGUCGUAACAAGGUAAGCGUACGUGU